ensembl:lncRNA
UUUUUUUUUUUUUUUAGGGUUUCACCUGUGGCAUUAUGACGUUUCUCAGGCUAGGGGUCAAAUCAGAGCUGCAGUCACCCUACACCACAGCCAUAUCAAUGCAGAAUCUGAGCCACAUCGGCAACCUACACCACAGCUCACAGCAACACCAAAUCCUUAACCCACUGAGCAAAGCCAGAGAUCGAAUCCGCAUCCUCUUGGAUACCAGUUGGGUUCAUUACUGCUGAGCCACAAUGGGAACUCCCCAAAUACUUGGAUAUUCAUUCCUUCUCUAGCUUCAAUCUUCAUUCCACUCAGUCAUCUUACAAUGUUGACCAUCUCCUCUCUUCGAUCAUCUACAAGAAGCCAUUCUGACUGAAAUCCAAACCCUCCCAAUGACUCCACUGCCUGCCCUGUCCAUCUUCCCAAUCACAUCUCACACCUCUCUUAAGAGGCUCUAGCCUCUAGCCUGGUCUUUGAACAGAAGACUGAGGGGUUUGGCACUGAUGUUCUUUCUCCUUGGAGGGCAAAUCCCAUUAUUCCACUUGGUACCUACUCAUUCUUCAGGUAUCAGCUAAAGUUCUUUCAGGACAGCUCUCCCUGACUCCACCCCUUACCCACAUCAUUACCUCUAUCUAAAUGUCCACUGACAGAUGAACAGAUAAAGAAGAUGUGGUAUAUUUAUACAAUAGAGUGUUCCUCAGCCAUAAAAAGAAUGAAAUAAUGCCAUUUGCAACAACAUGGAUAGACCUGGAGAUCCUCAUACUUAAUGAAGUCAGACAAAGACAAAUAUCACAUGAUAUUGAUUACAUGUGGAAUUUAAAAAUAAAAUGAUACAAAUGAACUUGUUCACAAAACAGAAAUAGACCCACAGACUAGAAACAAAUUUGUGCUUACCAAAGAGGAAAGGGGGAGAGGGGUAAAUUAGGAGUUUAGGAUGAACAAAUCCACACUACAAUAUAAAAAAAAAAUAACCAACAAGGACCUAUUGUAUAGCACAGGGAAAUCUAUUCAGUAUUUUGUAAUAACCUAUAAGGGAAAAAAUUUUGAAAAAGAAUACAUACAUAUAUAUAUUCAUAUUCAUAUAUAUAUACUUUGAUGUACACCUGAAACUAACAUAAUACUGUAAAUCAACUAUACUGCAAUUUAACUGAUUACUUUUUUAAAAUUAUCACAAUUUUUAAUAUUUUUGGCUGCUACUUUGUUUGCUGUUCCCCUAACAUACUAGACGUAAACUCUCUGAGGGCACUCAUUAUCCCUCUUUGCAACUGUAGUUCAAGAGUUUAGUGGACAGUCUGGUACACAGGGAAUGUGACACAGUCACAAAAUUAUGCACAUUUCUCUUCAGUGUAGAAAAAUCCAAAAAUUUUGUCUUUUAGUUUUGCUGUAAUCUUAUUUUUCUCCCCAUUCUAAACUAAAGCAUAAAUAAAAACAAAACAAAGCAAAAACAAAUAAAUCUAUUAAACAUCCAAUCUGAUAAACUCAAAAUGAUGUGAUAAUCAAACACCCCCCUUUAGGCAAUGCUCAGACAUUUUUAGGCAAAACUGCUUAGUUUCACAUCCCUUUCCCCAUUUCCAGGUCAUUUUGAAGAUGGCUUCAGGAUAUAGCCGGUGGGGAUAGGCAUGGUUCAUAAGUGACUUAGAGGUAAAAGGGAUAUGAACGUGUACCCUAUCUCUGUGGGGGCCUUGAGUGAUGGCUUCUGUCUCAUGACUGCUGCUUGCCCUGCUGGUCCUCAGAGCUGCUGCUCCUCAUAUCAGAAAUUGGUAGAUCUCAUACCUAAAUCCUCUGGGCUUGGUCAGAAUCCUGUAAUGCUUCCUGGCUUUUCUCAUGUCUGGGUGCCUCCAAUGGUCCCUCUGAACCUCUGUCACACAAAUGCACACUACAUAUUAGUCUGCAUUUUCCUCCCUACAAACCCCUAGCAAAUAGCCUCCUGUCACUCAGCCCAGCAUCCAAACCACACAUGACCCUAAAGGCUGAGAGAGAAUAAUUUAGGAAACCCUCUUCCUCUCAAAAAUGUUUGAAUUUCAGCCAAUUACCAUGGUGAAAAAUCCUGUUUGACUAUCAGAAUGUGGCAAUUAACCAUUUUAUUCUCUUUUCAUUCCUGUUGUCCUCAUUUUAAUCAGUGGGGGGGCAGAUAAAUGUUCCUGCUAGAAUUCAUUGUUGGUGUACACACAAAAAGGGAAAAAAAACUUUAAAAUGUUUUUGUAUGAGCUCUCACUCAAUAAAUAGUUCUUGUAUGAAAGAAAUGUGUGGGUUUUUUAAGGGACACAAGGUGAAAUAUAGAAAAUGGCAACAACCAAACUACCAGACUUAAUUAUCCACUCAGUUUGUAAUAUGAUUUUGCCAAAAAUAAGUGUCUGGUAGAGUCUUUCAUUGCUUCACUACAUUUGUAUUGUACAGAAAUAAAAAUAGGAUCUAUAAAUAUAAUUUUAACAAGAAAAAUUAGUACUAUAGGAGCUCAUGGUUGAAGUUUAUGGUUAGAAGUUGGUGUUUACAAGCCUAGACUUUAGGCUUAAAACAAGAAGACCUUUAUUUUUCUCUUCUCUCUCUCCUACAAAGGGAUUAAUCUUCAAUAGAUAAAGUAAAAAAAAAAUCACUGAAAGGUAUUGAAAACCUACAUAAUUUGAAUAAAAAUAAUUUUUCAGGGCUUAGAAAAACUCUAUCAUAAGAUAUGGAAAGAUAUCACAGUUGUAAUUUUGAAUACACUGCACAUAAUUUUUGAGAAAUUUUGACUGAUGGGAUAAGUUCUAGGAGGGCUUUAAGAAUAAGGUUGUUUUAGAACUGCUCUUCAAAUGACAGAAGGAAAAUAGUCUUCUAAGAAAAAUAAGCAAAAUCACAGAGCUGGGAAAAUACAUAGUAAAGUUGAACUGUAGUCUUGGUAGAUGUAAGAAGGCAUUAAAGGAACACUUAGAAACAUCUGACAUCAAGUCCCAGGAUUUCAGCCUAAGUAAUUCAGUGGGUUUUUUAUUCAUUCCUUAAUCCUACGUAUACACACAAAACAUAUCCUCCUCAUUGUUACUUAUUAUGUAAAAGAAAUACUGUCUACCAUAAAUACACCUUUUGAGAUUCCAUGCCUAUGUGUAUAGUCAGCUCUGAUUACUUCAGUCAUUUCAACUAUGUAUAUAAUUUUUAAAUCAAUUAUUCUCAAGAAGAAAGUUGAAGUUAAGGGAAUGAGAGCCAAGUGGGUAUCAAGGAAGGGUCCCAGAAGAGAUACCACUAAUUUUAGUGAAGUAGACAAACUUUGACAGAAAAGCAGGAAAAAAUAAAUAAAUAAAACCAAAAAACAAAAAACAUUUCCAAGGACAGAAAACAGUGAGACAACUAAAAAGCAAAAGGGCCAAGAGACAGGGCAGAUUUGUUAGGCUAAUAAAGAGAAGUAUGAAGGUAGAUUAGAGAAGAGCUAUAUUUUAUAUUACCCACUUCCACUUACUACAAAGUGCCCAAGGACAGAAAGCUUGACUUACUACCUACAAAAAAUGAAUUAUUACUUCCAAAGAUUUGAUAGAUUUCCAUGUCAUGGCCAGUCACGCCAGUGACUCUUUCCUUCCUUUAUGUGACUCAUGAUGCUUUCUGUGUUCUUUCCAAGGUAUAAAAUCAGAAUGCGGCUGUUGGACAAUAUAUCUUUUCCACUGCUUUCCAAAUUCUACAAUCAUAACUGGAAUAGAUUCCUCCAUAGUUUAUAUCCUCUUUUACAAAAAUAGUAGAAAUUCACACCCAAUGAUCACCUCUGCCUUUUUCCCCUUCAAAAGGUAGAAGUGAUGGUUCUUAUGUAUAAAAGAAUGCUAAGAUGAAAGCUUAGAAUUUAUACAGAAAAAUCUCAGCUUUAGUUUUGCUUUAUAGAAACUGUUCACAAUAUCCUUUAGAAAAAAAAUAUUAUGGAUUAAUCCUAUGCUGCUUGAACCCA